rnacentral:misc_RNA from 1 species
GAAAUCAGUGAUCAAUACCUCCAGAGAUAUGAGCGGGAGAAUGAGUUUAAUCCUCACCAAAUUAUUCCUUUACCCCCCAGCAACAAAAACUUUACAGCAAUUACCCCUAAAACUAAAAAACCCGGUUCAGCAGGCGUAGAACUCGACCAACUCGUCCAGCGACUCGGGUUGCGGAUCGGCGUUCUCGAGCAUCCACAGCAAGUGCUCGAACAGCACCACCUCGCACCCUACGAAGUUGCUGGCGCCGCCGCCGGAGCGUUCGAUGAGGACUUUGAAGAGGGGGUGGUCGACGAGGUCGGAGCUGAUGAGGUACCGCCGGCGGGACUUUCCGACGUAGACGGUGUGGAAGCCGGCAGGAACCUCGUCGCCG